AGUGAACGCUGGCGGUAGGCCUAACACAUGCAAGUCGAACGGCAGCACAGUAAGAGCUUGCUCUUACGGGUGGCGAGUGGCGGACGGGUGAGGAAUACAUCGGAAUCUACUUUUUCGUGGGGGAUAACGUGGGGAAACUUACGCUAAUACCGCAUACGACCUACGGGUGAAAGCAGGGGAUCUUCGGACCUUGCGCGAUUGAAUGAGCCGAUGUCGGAUUAGCUAGUUGGCGGGGUAAAGGCCCACCAAGGCGACGAUCCGUAGCUGGUCUGAGAGGAUGAUCAGCCACACUGGAACUGAGACACGGUCCAGACUCCUACGGGAGGCAGCAGUGGGGAAUAUUGGACAAUGGGCGCAAGCCUGAUCCAGCAAUACCGCGUGGGUGAAGAAGGCCUUCGGGUUGUAAAGCCCUUUUGUUGGGAAAGAAAAGCAGCAGGUUAAUACCCCGCUGUUCUGACGGUACCCAAAGAAUAAGCACCGGCUAACUUCGUG
rnacentral:rRNA from 1 species